rnacentral:rRNA from 1 species
CCUACGGGAGGCAGCAGUGAGGAAUAUUGGUCAAUGGGCGCGAGCCUGAACCAGCCAAGUCGCGUGAGGGAAGACGGUCCUAUGGAUUGUAAACCUCUUUUGUCGGGGAGCAAAAGACGCCACGCGUGGCGUUCCGAGAGUACCCGAAGAAAAAGCAUCGGCUAACUCCGUGCCAGCAGCCGCGGUAAUACGGAGGAUGCGAGCGUUAUCCGGAUUUAUUGGGUUUAAAGGGUGCGGAGGCGGAGGAUGAAGUCAGCGGUAAAAUUGAGGGGCUCAACCUCUGCGAGCCGUUGAAACUGGUUGUCGUGAGAGGGCGAGAAGUAUGCGGAAUGCGUGGUGUAGCGGUGAAAUGCAUAGAUAUCACGCAGAACUCCGAUUGCGAAGGCAGCAUACCGGCGCUGAACUGACGCUGAGGCACGAAAGUGUGGGUAUCGAACAGGAUUAGAUACCCUGGUAGUC